GACGAACGCUGGCGGCGUGCUUAACACAUGCAAGUCGAACGGUAAGGCCCUUCGGGGUACACGAGUGGCGAACGGGCGAGUAACACGUGGGUGAUCUGCCCUGCACUUCGGGAUAAGCCUGGGAAACUGGGUCUAAUACCGGAUAGGACUCCGGACUGCAUGGUCUGGGGUGGAAAGCUUUUGCGGUGUGGGAUGGGCCCGGGGCCUAUCAGCUUGUUGGUGGGGUGAUGGCCUACCAAGGCGACGACGGGUAGCCGGCCUGAGAGGGUGACCGGCCACACUGGGACUGAGAUACGGCCCAGACUCCUACGGGAGGCAGCAGUGGGGAAUAUUGCACAAUGGGCGCAAGCCUGAUGCAGCGACGCCGCGUGAGGGAUGACGGCCUUCGGGUUGUAAACCUCUUUCAGCAUCGACGAAGCGAAAGUGACGGUAGGUGCAGAAGAAGGACCGGCCAACUACGUGCCAGCCGCCGCAGUAA
rnacentral:rRNA from 1 species